AGCUUUGCACCGUGGCAGUAUUGUAGCCAAUGAGGUUUAUCCAAGGUGCGAUUAUUGCUCAUUAAAAUCAUACAAAGCACAUGAUAACAAAUCAGCAACAAAAGGAAACUUGGGAAAUUUGUGAAUUACAAAUUGG